GAUGAACGCUGGCGGCGUGCCUAAUACAUGCAAGUCGAGCGAACGGACGAGAAGCUUGCUUCUCUGAUGUUAGCGGCGGACGGGUGAGUAACACGUGGAUAACCUACCUAUAAGACUGGGAUAACUUCGGGAAACCGGAGCUAAUACCGGAUGAUAUUUUGAACCGCAUGGUUCAAAAGUGAAAGACGGUCUUGCUGUCACUUAUAGAUGGAUCCGCGCUGCAUUAGCUAGUUGGUAAGGUAACUGCUUACCAAGGCAACGAUGCAUAGCCGACCUGAGAGGGUGGACGGCCACACUGGAACUGAGAAACGGUCCAGACUCCUACGGGAGGCAGCAGUAGGGAAUCUUCCGCAAUGGGCGAAAGCCUGACGGAGCAAAGCCGCGUGAGUGAUGAAGGUCUUCGGAUCGUAAAACUCUGUUAUUAGGGAAGAACAUAUGUGUAAGUAACUGUGAACAUCUUGACGGUACCUAAUCAGAAAGCCACGGCUAACUACGUG
rnacentral:rRNA from 1 species